rnacentral:rRNA from 1 species
AUUGAACGCUGGCGGCAGGCCUAACACAUGCAAGUCGAGCGGAUGAAGGGAGCUUGCUCCUGGAUUCAGCGGCGGACGGGUGAGUAAUGCCUAGGAAUCUGCCUGGUAGUGGGGGAUAGCGUCCGGAAACGGGCGCUAAUACCGCAUACGUCCUGAGGGAGAAAGUGGGGGAUCUUCGGACCUCACGCUAUCAGAUGAGCCUAGGUCGGAUUAGCUAGUUGGUGGGGUAAAGGCCUACCAAGGCGACGAUCCAUAACUGGUCUGAGAGGAUGAUCAGUCACACUGGAACUGAGACACGGUCCAGACUCCUACGGGAGGCAGCAGUGGGGAAUAUUGGACAAUGGGCGAAAGCCUGAUCCAGCCAUGCCGCGUGUGUGAAGAAGGUCUUCGGAUUGUAAAGCACUUUAAGUUGGGAGGAAGGGCAGUAAGUUAAUACCUUGCUGUUUUGACGUUACCAACAGAAUAAGCACCGGCUAACUUCGUG